rnacentral:lncRNA from 1 species
GAGAUGAAAGAAAGACACUUUCUUGGGUUGAAAAACCACCAUCUCUUAGUUUUAGGAUGAGGACGGAGAACAAAGAAAGUCUGAAAUAGAGAAGGGCAAGGAUUGGUCGAGAUAAGAUGACACAACAAGGUGAAACUGAUGAUCAGCCGAAUGAAAUUUAGAGCUUGCUGAGCAAGACAAAGUUGAUAAUAAUCAAGAAGAUUCCGGACGAACUCUGAAAUUGAAAAUCGAAGACUAGUUUGAAGAUCUUUGACAUAGAAUGCAACUUGUCCA